CCAAAUUUCCAGGAAUCCCAAAUCACCAGGGAUCCCAAACCUCCAGAGACCCCAAACCUUCAGGGAUUCCAAAUUUCCAGGAAUCCCAAAUCACCAGGGAUCCCAAAUCUUCAGGGAUCCCAAAUCACCAGGGAUCCCAAACCUUCAGGGAUCCCAAAUCACCAGGGAUCCCAAACCUUCAGGGAUCCCAAACCUCCAGGAAUCCCAAACCCCCAGAGAUCCCAAAUUUCCAGGGAUCCAGGAGCAGCCACAGCUGCUCUGGGAAUUCCAUCCCCUCCCAGGGAAGAACUUCCCCACCGUCUCCGCUGGAAUCCUUUGGGCAGUUUCUCCUGGCGGGGGAGGACAGAGGGACAGGAGCUGCCCCAGGAGCUCCUCAGCUGCUGCCCAAAACAAAUUAAAAAUAAAAACGUUUCCAAAAACAGCUCUGGGAUUCCAGCUCUGAAUUUCAGGAUCCCUGGAAUGCUGACGCUUCUUUUCCCGCCCAGCCCCGGCAACGGUGAGUAAAUAAAUGUAAAUAAAUAAGUGAAUUAGAAAGAAAAAAAAAGAGAAAUAAAUAAUAAUAAAUAAGUAAAUAAAUGGAACUCACAUUUCCCCCAGGGCUGGCCUUGGCAGGGCAUUAAGGAGAGCCAAAGGACAAAGAUCUGGCCGGGUGCUGAUGGCAGCUGGAAGGGAUCCAGCUCCCAUCCCUGGCAGGGGGAAGGGCAAAGCUCAACAUCCCACGGCUCCAAAAGGAUUUUCCCGGCUGGAGAGCCCCGGGAUGGAGGGAGGGCCGGGAAAUGAAGGGGUUAAAUGGGGAUUUUUAGCACGGGCUGAGCUGGAAAGUUCAGCUUUUUAUCUGAAGGGUAAAGAAAUGAGGAACUGGGAGCUGCUGCAGAUCCUUUCAGGGGAUCCAGGGAAUGUUUGGGGUCACGGGGAUCCAGGGAAGGUCACAGGGAAUGUUUGGGGAGGAUCCAGGGAUCCAGGGAAUGUUUGGGAGGAUCCAGGGAUCCAGGGAAUGUCUGGGGAGAAGGAGCCGAGGAUGGACUUUUUAUUAUUAUUUAUUUCUCGUUUAUUUCUUGUUUAUUUCUUGUUUAUUUCUUGUUUAUCUGGCUCUGGGAGCAGCGGUGACAGACAGACAGACAGACAGACAGAGCUCAAGCUGCUGAGGGGAGAUAAAAGGAAAGCAGUCAGAGGAGGAGGAGGAGGAGGAGAAGGAGGAGGAGGAGGAGAAGGAGGAGGAGGAGUUGUUGUUGUUGUUGGGUUCUCGGGCUCUCUCCGUGCUCCAGUUCUGCCUUUUUGGAAUUCCGGGCUCUCCCCGGAGCCUCCCCCGGCCGAUCCCUCCCUCCCCCCGGGCUGGCUGCGGCUGCUCCGGGGGAUUUUGGGGGUUCCUGGCUCCGGGAGAGCCCGGCCGGGCUCCAGGCAGGGCUCAGCUGAGUCAGCGUGGCCAGCAGCCAGGGCUGGGGAUCAUUUCUGUCCUGGGAACGCUCAUUUCUAUCCUGAACUCAUUUCUGUCCUGAAUUCACUCAUUUCUGUCCUGAAUUCUAUCAUUUCUGUCCUGAACUCACUCAAUUCUGUCCUGAAUUCACUCAUUUCUGUCCUGAACUCACUCAAUUCUGUCCUGAAUUCACUCAAUUUUGUCCCUCUCACUCAUUUCUGCCCCGCUCCCAUCCUGGAUGGACACAGGGACAGGGGUCAGGAUGGACACAGGGAUGGGGUCAGGAUGGACACAGGGACAGGGGUCAGGAUGGACACAGGGAUGGGGUCAGGAUGGACACAGGGAUGGGGUCAGGAUGGACACAGGGACAGGACUCCUGGAUGGACACAGGGAUGGGGUCAGGAUGGACAGGGGGAUGGGGUCAGGAUGGACACAGGGAUGGGGUCAGGAUGGACACAGGGACAGGGGUCAGGAUGGACAGGGGGAUGGGGUCAGGAUGGACACAGGGAUGGGGUCAGGAUGGACAGGGGGACAGGGGUCAGGAUGGACACAGGGACAGGGGUCAGGAUGGACAGGGGGAUGGGGUCAGGAUGGACAGGGGGAUGGGGUCAGGAUGGACAGAGGGACAGGGGUCAGGAUGGACAGAGGGACAGGGGUCAGGAUGGACACAGGGACAGGGGUCAGGAUGGACAGAGCUGCUUUGGGGUGCCUUUCCCAGCCCCUCUGGGUGUCCCUGCGUAGGAGCUGCCUCAUCCCAUCCCUGGAUUAUCCGGGCAGACCCGGCUCAGGCAGAGCCAGGCUUUGCAAGGCCAGCCCAAGUGAGCACAGAUGGCCCAGCCAGGGCUGCCUUUGGUCCUGGCCAGGCCCUGGCACCUCUCGUGGUGCUGCUGCUGCUGCUGCCACCUGUCCCUGCUGUCCCCAAACGCUGUCCCCGAGCUCCUGGGUCACCUGAGCCCACCUGGCAGGUCCCUGAGAG
rnacentral:lncRNA from 1 species